rnacentral:misc_RNA from 1 species
GAUGAAGAACGUAGUGAAAUGCGAUACGUAAUGUGAAUUGCAGAAUUCAGUGAAUCAUCGAGUCUUUGAACGCACAUUGCGCCCCCUGGUAUUCCGGGGGGCAUGCCUGUCCGAGCGUCAUUGCUGCCCUCAAGCACGGCUUGUGUGUUGGGCCUCCGUCCUCCUCCCGGGGGACGGGCCCGACAGGCAGCGGCGGCACCGCGUCCGGUCCUCGAGCGUAUGGGGCUUCGUCACCCGCUCUUGUAGGCCCGGCCGGCGCUUGCCGACACAUCAAUCUUUUUUCCAGGUUGACCUCGGAUCAGGUAGGGAUACCCGCUGAACUUAAGCAUAUCAAUAAGCGGAGGA